rnacentral:rRNA from 1 species
GACGAACGCUGGCGGCGUGCUUAACACAUGCAAGUCGAACGGAAAGGCCCUGCUUUUGUGGGGUGCUCGAGUGGCGAACGGGUGAGUAACACGUGAGUAACCUGCCCUUGACUUUGGGAUAACUUCAGGAAACUGGGGCUAAUACCGGAUAGGAGCUCCUGCUGCAUGGUGGGGGUUGGAAAGUUUCGGAGGUUGGGGAUGGACUCGCGGCUUAUCAGCUUGUUGGUGGGGUAGUGGCUUACCAAGGCUUUGACGGGUAGCCGGCCUGAGGGGGUGACCGGCAACAUUGGGACUGAGGUACAGCCCAGACUCCUACGGGGGGCAGCAGUGGGGAAUAGUGCACAAUGGGCGGAAGCCUGGUGCAGCAACGCCGCGUGCGGGAUGACGGCCUUCAGGUUGUAAACCGCUUUCGCCUGUGACGAAGCGUGAGUGACGGUAAUGGGUAAAGAAGCACCGGCUAACUACGUG